AAUGAACGUUGGCGGCAUGGAUUAGGCAUGCAAGUCGCACGAGAACCCCGCAAGGGGGGACAGUGGCGAAAGGGAGAGUAAUACGUGGGUACCUACCUCAAGGUUCAGGAUAGCGGCGGGAAACUGCCAUUAAUACUGAAUAAUGUCUACGGACCAAAGGUGUGAUUCCACCUUGAGACGGGCCCGCGUCCUAUCAGCUAGUUGGUGGGGUAAUGGCCUACCAAGGCAAUGACGGGUAUGGGGCGUGAGAGCGUGCCCCCACUCACUGGGACUGAGACACUGCCCAGACACCUACGGGAGGCAG
rnacentral:rRNA from 1 species